rnacentral:lncRNA from 1 species
UUUACCUGAAAGAAAGCUAAUACAGGGCAAAAGUAAUAGUUACCAAUCAUAAACCUACCUGUGAUUACUCAUUCCUUGAAACUUUUUGGGUGAUAAAAACGAGUAUGAAAAUUUUGUUUUUGUGUACGGUGUACUGCAACUUAACUAUGCACCAUACAGAAAGAUUUAUGUGGUCAGCUAAACACCGUACACAACGCUUCUUUUUAGAAUCAAAUAUUAAAAAAAAACAUAUGCACGAAAGAUUUCAAUGCCAAUUAUUGAUACAACUAUACUUAUUACACACGCAC